UUUUUUUUUUUUUUUUUUUUUUUUUUCGUCUUUUUAGGGCUGCACUCACAGCACACGGAGGUUUCCAGACUAGGGGUUUAAUCAGAGCUGUAGCUGCUGGCCUACACCACAGCCACAGCAACACCAGACCAAGCCUUGUCUGUGACCUACACCACAGCUCCUGGCAAUGCUGGAUCCUUGACACACUGAGUGGGGCCAGGGAUUGAACCUGCAUCCUCAUGGAUACUAGUCAGAUUCUUUUCCACUGAGCCACGACAGAAACUCUAGCAUUGUGUUUCUGUUUUCCCUCUCUGUUUGACCAGAUUCCAUUGAGCAGGGACUUUUAAAUAAAUCUGCAUCCAAAUAUAUCACAGAUUUCAUUUGAUAAGAAGAAACCAAGCAAAAGAGAAUGAAUGUAUUUUAACAGUUAUGUUUUAUCCAUUACAGUUUAAAGUUGUAUUAACAAAAUUAGCUUUAUUUGAGUAAUUGAUCUUCAUUAAGUACUAUUCUCCAUCAACAUUUUAAGAACUUAGGAAUUCCUAUUGUGGCUCAGUGGUAAUGAACCCAACUAGUAUCCAUGAAGAUGCAGGUUUGAUCUCUGGCCUCGCUCAGUGGGUUAAGAAUCUGGAAUUGCAGUGAGCUGUAGCGUAGGCUGCAGACGCAGCUUGGAUACCCAGAACCCACGUUGCAGACCCACCUAAGAAGUUAUCACAUCGAUGGUCCUGUUGCCAGUAAAGUUCCCUGUGAUUUAAAUUGGAAACAUUUCCACUCAUGGCAGAUAAUUUUUUAACUAGGACACAAUGGAAAAUUAGAAGAUUAUCACCAAUGGCAUUUUGUAAUAGUUCCUUAUCCUGGAUUUCUAUCUAUUUCACAUGGCCUUCAGUGACAUAGCUUCUCUCUUAAAUUACUAAAGCUUUCCCAUGAUUUGUCAAUCAUACUCAUACUGGAACUGGCUAGACUAGAUGUGGCAAUAAGUGGAUUUUCCAGGAUUUUUCAGAAGAAAUUAAAAUAUAUAUUUUCAUAUGAAUGCUAAAAAUCACCAAUUAAUAUUGAAAGUCAGUUUUCUUUCUUAAAAAUAUAUAAAUGCUUUUUGGAAUAAAAAUUCUGGAAGUUUACUAGAUUAAAAUUGACAGUUCAAUUCAGAGAAUAAAAACAAAUGACAUCCUACAGAUUCAAAAACUGUUUACUAAUCAUUUGAAAUUUCAUUCCUCUUUUUAAUGUAUUCUGAGAAUACUGAAGCAAUCAGCAUUAACUUAUUGUAAGGAUAGCUUAGGAGGCAACAGAAAUCCUCUUUGGAAGACUGAAAUCAGACAAGGUGGGAACAGCUGACAGAGCACUACUGGCACACUUUGUUUAUAGAAAUAACAGGUAAGGUGCCCUCUAAUCAGAGUAAAGUCAUCCCAGUUUUUCAUUCCAAAAUUCCAGAUUUACUUCCGAACUAACCCUAUAUGGGGCUGAAAAACUGGAUAUAUCCACCUCCAGCAGUAAAUUACCUGACAUGUGAACAUAUAACAUGUGCCUUUAAAUAUAGCACUAAAUUACCCAUCUUCCAUAGAGAUAGAAUGGACUCUGAUUCACAGAGCAGGUAACAAACCUAGGGCUCUCAAUCAUGGCUGAAGGAAUUUACGUGCACUGCAGACAUUAACUCUCUGUAGAAGGUCAUCGCUUCACAGCCUGGGAAAUAAUCCCUGCCAGCUGAUUUGCAAAGUGCCUGAGGCAUCGCUCCUGAGAGGCAUAACUCCUCUUCUUUCAAGGCUAGAGGUCAGAGCCAUGAUCACAGCUCAGUCAAAUUUAAAGGAAAAAGUAUCUGGGGUCAAAAAUAUCCUAAGGAAAAAUAGAAGACUAAAACUAAAAAAAAUAUAUUGUGUUCCCCUGGGCUUUAGAAUGAUGAUGGAAAAACCUGUUGCAGAAUAUUAAACUUAGAUUUUUUUCAUCUGAUAGCUUCAAAAUAACUAAACUAAACUGAAUACAGAAUCUGAUGAAUGUCAUGCUGCAAUCAGUUUUGAGGACAUUUUUAAAUGCUACAAAUCCAUUUAAAUCCUCAUCAGCCUAGACAUUCUAAAAAGUAAAAUAAAAUCAAGUUUAAGUGACUUAAACAUGAAAUGUGAGCAGCGGCUCAAUGAUUAAAUUACUGCAUCAAUUAACUUGAGUACACAGAAAGAAGGCUGCUCUUUCAAGCAAUGUUAAUUCUGCCUCUGAUCAGACAAGACUCCUCCUCACAUCAUGGUUGCUGCUUCAUAAAACACAACUCAUGCAGCAAAAAGGGAAAGAUGAUUUGUAAAUAAGAAAAGACUACUGUAUGAGAAUUCUUUACAAAAUACAUAAACUAAAUUGAUGUUUAUGUGAAAAAUACAGUCAUUUCCAUAUACUUCUAACAAUGGAAAACUCUAAAAAUUGUUUUUGAAAAUCAUAAGACAAAUGAAAUCACCAUUAAACUCAACGAGAGUGACUUGGUACCCAUAAAAAUCAUAAAUGAGCACAUUUAAAGAUUAAAGCCAUUUUUGGAUGUACACAUCACAAAGGGUAAAGUGUUUUAUUUUGGUCAUCUCUUCCAACUGCUAUUACAUGCUGUCAUUUUCAGUAAGAGAAAUGUAUUUGCAAAAGCAGAGUGAGCACAAGAGGCCUUAAAUCAGACAAGCUGGGGACCGUUGAUGGAGCACUGACUGCACACUGCCUACCAAGGCCCUUGAAUAUCAGGAUUUUAUGCUGUGUUUUUCUGACUUAUCUGACACAUAGUGGAUUCUUAAAUACCUCCUUAAAAUCUGGACUACUAACCUACUUUUACCUCUAAGUUUGCUCCUGCUCUUUUAAGGGUCUAAGUUCUUCCCAGAAAAGGAGGAAAGGAAGAAGCCCUGACAAACAUAUUCUGUCCUUCCAUUGUUCCUGGCCCUUUAAAACCCAGUUCAGAAGUCACCUCAUCACUGUUUUCUGUAUUAUUCAGAACAGAUUUGUUAUGGUAAGGUAGCUAUUUAACUUCGAAAUCUCAGGGGCUCACACCAAAAAAAAAUUUAUUGCUUGCUUAUACGAAGUCCACUGCAAAUCUGGCAGCUCUCCACACACAGUAGCUCCCUCCCUACUGUUAAUGCCAGUCCUAUAUCCUAGUGAAUUAGGCAUCUUAACAAGCCACACCCAUGUUUCCAAGUUUCUUCUUUCUUUUUUUUCUGCUUUUUGGGGCUUAUGGAAGUUCCCAUGCUAGGGGUUGAAUCUGAGCCACAGCAACACAGGAUACAAGCCACAUCUACAUGCCAAUCAAAAUUUCAGGCACUGAACUGCAAUAACAAUGAUUCUAACAUACACAACAAAAAAACAGCAUGUUCUAAAAUGAGUGACAAUGGUGAUUUAUUUAAUGAUGGUUAAUGAUUUUUCUCAAGUUAUACAAAGGAAGCUAUAUACCAUACAAUAUAAGUUAUGAAUUGAAAGGGGGAAGAAAAUCCUUGCCAUAGUUUAGCUUUGUCCAGAAGCAAACCCUGUGCAAGGAUUCACAUGCAAUUGGUUAUCUAGGAGGAAAUGAGACAGGGAAGGAAAGGCAGGCAAAAAAGGGCAGGUUAUUAAUUAAGUGUAAACUGUGGGUAAAAAGAACCAAAUUCCACUGGAGGAAUCUGGCAGCCAGUCUAGAUAGUGUAGUCAGUGUAUUCAAAGAGUGAGAAAGGCUGAGGUAUUUAUACAUUCACUACAUCAGUCAUUAGCUGAAAGGGUUGCUCCCAGGCAGUACUACUUAUCUGGCAUUGCUGAUUUGUGGAGCAGGAUGACAAGGAGGGCUCUGGUGGCCAGAAAUAGCCCUCAGGCAAAGAAAUACAGCUGCUCAAAAUUGGAAGAAGGGCAAGCAUACACUUAAGUGGCAAGAACAAUGAAUGCUGGUGGUAAAAAAAUAAUCAUAUGGUCAGAAAUGUCCUAGAAGAAUCACAAGAAGAGGGACUUGAGCUAGGAUUUCAGAAACGGGUUGGAUUGGGUUAAGGAAUAACAUUUAAGUUAGGAAAAGUGGCAUGAGCAAAAGUACUGAGGUAAGAAAGAAUAAGAGGUAUCCUAUGUCAGUUAUAAGCCAGUUUCAAAGGAUUAGAGAGAUAUUUUACACAGAAUAUUCUUGGGAAAAUAUGGCAAAUAUAUAUAUAUAUAUUGGGUCUAUAUUAGGGAUGGUAUCUAAUGUUAGGCUAAAGAAUUCUUUUGCUCUUAAGUUUUGAGUAACCUCUAAGUUUCUGCAUGGAGAAACAAUAAAAUGAAAAUAUUAUGGCAUUAAUAUCUUUGUUGGCACCAUUACUGUCCUUGGACUAUGAAUCCCUAUUGGAUAGGAUCUGUAUAUAUUCAAAUUCCCUAAAAAAAGGUUUACAUUCAGGAGUUCCCAUUGCAGCUCAGUGGAAAUGAAUAUGACAAGUAUCCAUGAGGAUGCAGGUUGGGUCCCUGGCCUUGCUAAGUGGGUCAAGGAUCCUGCGUUGCAGCGAGCUGUGGUAUAGGGCACAGAUGUGACCUGGAUCCCAUGUUGCUGUGGCUGUGGCUUAGGUCAGCAGCUGUAGCUCUGAUUCAACCCCUAGUCUGGGAACUUCCAUAUGCUGCAGGAGCAGCCAU
rnacentral:lncRNA from 1 species